GGGAGCUUGGCUCAGUUGGAAGAGCGCAGGUCUCAUACGUUUGUGUGAUUCGGUGUCAAACCGGAGUAAUCCUGAGGUCGUGAGUUCGAGCCUCACAGUUCCCA
rnacentral:tRNA from 1 species